AACUACGGUCAUAGAAUGAGGGCCGCUGGGUAUCCCGUUCGCUCUGCCUUACAUAAGCCUCAUAUCGUUUGCUCAGUACCAUUGUCAGCGAUGAGAUGGGAAUCGCAAAUACCGUAGUUG
rnacentral:rRNA from 1 species